CAGGGUCUUGGCAGUGUGUGUGCCCGUGUGUUGACGUGUGUGUGUCCCGCUGCUGAGCCCCGACGAACUUUCCCCAACUCUCCGAACUAAACGAAGUUUUUCCGAACACUCAUUGCGAAACUUUUUUUACGAUAGUUGUGUUGCGGUGGUGGAGGCGCGAGGCGACCCCAACCUCGGGGGGCGAGGACCUAGAAAGGCCCCGGGGCGGGGCGUCGCCCCCUCGCUGUCCUAGCCAGGUGAUGCUCUCGCUGUGUGUGGGUCUUCAUGCACUCGCCUGCUGGGCCGCCCGCAAGUACAGACAGCCACUGUGCCAUGUCCCUCCGGAGUGCAACAUCUGCACAGAUACUUCACUAACAGGAAGAAGAGGGCGUCUGAAGGUGGUGUUGGUUGUGGGUGGAUCUGGCAAGAACCAAACCAGAUGUCACUGAAUACAACCUCGACCAGAUAACCUU